CUGUCUUAUAGCAAUAAUGUUAAUCUGUUAACAAAGUUACGUAGUGGAACAUUAAAGUUAAAUAUUGAAGUUGGCCGUUAUAAUAAUAUUCCUAGAGAAAAUCGUUUAUGUGAAUGUUGUAAAAUGUGUGUUAUUGAAGAUGAAUACCAUUUUGUUCUUGUUUGUCCAUCUUAUAGAUCUGUACGAACACAAUUUUUACCAAAGUACUAUUGUCAUUGGCCUAAUAAUAUCAAACUAUUAAAUUUAUUACAAGCUUCUAGUAAGUCUCUCACGAUCAAAUUAUGUAAUUAUGUAAAAGCUGCAUGGAAUAUUCGAUCUCAUAUAGUCUCAUAACUUAAUUUAUA
rnacentral:lncRNA from 1 species